UGCCAAGCCGGAAGCCAGCGGCUCGGUCAACUGGAAACGAAGCAGGGUCACUGACACCUGCUGGAUUGGAUUAUCAUAGUAGUACAUCUGGAGGCUGCAGUUGUUAAGAGCCUUCUUCUUCUUCUCGAGGACCUGUCAGUUCCCAGCACCCAGAUUUCGGCUCAUAACCAUCUGGAACACCAGUCCCAGGACAUUAAACUCCAAUUCUUGGUGGACACCAACAUACAUGCAGGGGCCAUCUGAAUGUGGGGAUUGCAAGAAUGCCUCGCCGCACACCAGCUCAUGGAUAGACCAACACUUUGCAUGUGUUAUGCAAGCAUUCUGUCAACUGAGCUAUGUCA